rnacentral:misc_RNA from 1 species
ACCUUGAUGUGACUCCGGCGC